rnacentral:lncRNA from 1 species
GGCGGAUCCCAUGUGACUCCAUCACUCCCUGGCAGGUCGCAGUAACAGCCAUGAUUCUACUCCACUUCCUGCGAUGGAUCCUGCAUGGCCCCACCACUCUCUGGUGAGUCACGACAACGGACGCCGCUCCACUUUCCGCAACAGACUCCACGUGGCGAGCCAUGGUGACAGCCAUGACUCCACCACAUUACUCUUCAUAAUUAACUCAUCCUGGCC